rnacentral:rRNA from 1 species
UACGGGGGGGGCAAGCGUUGUUCGGAAUUAUUGGGCGUAAAGGGUUCGUAGGCGGUCGACUCAGUCAGACGUGAAAUCCCUCGGCUCAACCGGGGAACGACGCAUGAAACUGACAAGCUAGAGUACCAAAGAGGGGGGUGGAAUUCCCGGUGUAGCGGUGAAAUGCGUAGAUAUCUGGAGGAACACCGGUGGCGAAGGCGACAUCCUGGACCGGUAUUGACGCUGAGGCGCGAAAGCCAGGGGAGCAAACGGG